CAGUAGCCACGGGAAUACGGAGGGGGCUAGCGUUGUUCGGAAUUACUGGGCGUAAAGCGCACGUAGGCGGCUUGGUAAGUUAGAGGUGAAAGCCCAGGGCUCAACCCUGGAAUUGCCUUUAAGACUGCCGAGCUAGUAGGUGAGAGAGGUAAGUGGAAUUCCGAGUGUAGAGGUGAAAUUCGUAGAUAUUCGGAAGAACACCAGUGGCGAAGGCGGCUUACUGGCUCAUUCUAGACGCUGAGGUGCGAAAGCGUGGGGAGCAAACAGGAUUAGAUACCCGCGUAGUCCCUGUCUCUUAUAC
rnacentral:rRNA from 1 species